GUAAGUAAGUCAUUUUCCCUAUUAAAAUCCCUUGUAUUUUUACCUGGCUCUGUAUUGGUAAUUUCCUGCCAUAUCUGGUGUCAGGAGUGGGAUCUUGGCCCCAUUUGGGACGGCCUGCAGGUCCCACCGGGCCUUUGGCCUAGGCCAGGAAAGCGCCCUCUCUCCACAGGUACUCCCGGCUCCCAGCCACCAGCUGUCCCAGACAAGUGCAUUCUGGCUGCCGCUGAGCCACUUAGAACCGUCUGCCCAGCUGGGAGACUUCCACAGACCUCUUGCAGUUUCUAGCUGCAGGCACAGGACUGGCUCAGACUGUGGCCUACCCGAACCCUGAGGCCUCUGCCCUAGAACUGGCCACAAGGCCAUAUACUUUCUAAGAUAAGCGCAGCCGCUUUUGUGACCUCUCUCCACGGCUACCACCAUCUUGCCUGACCCACCGCUGCCAAACCCCGUGCCAAGUAGCUGAAUGCCUGCACCACCUGCUGGUCAAAGAUACUUACUGCAUCUGCAGUAGAAAUCAGGAGAAGAAAAACUUUGGAUACCAUUAAAGUUGAUCAAGAUUCACAUUGAAAAGGAAAAACCUCUCGACGAGGACAAAUGACAGGUAUUCUACUAAGGUAUGUCUUAUAAGCUAAAUAGAAACCUCACAAAGGAAAGGGAAGUGUUUUGCUUUUAUCUUCACAGGAAAACUCAUCUCCAGAAGGCCAAGGACACUGCAUGGGUAGAUACGUAAGAAGAGAAGGUAGCUUAACCAUCAAACAAAAAGAACAUGCCAUGCAGUAAAUUUUACAGCUGUCUCUCAGAGAACUCUAUUUCUUUUUCUAGUCCCUAU
rnacentral:lncRNA from 1 species